rnacentral:rRNA from 1 species
AGAAGGCUAUGUUAGCCGGGCGACGGUUGUCCCGGUUUAAGCAUGUAGGCUGGUUAUCCAGGCAAAUCCGGAUAAUCAAGGCUGAGGUGUGAUGACGAGGCACUACGGUGCUGAAGUAACAAAUGCCCUGCUUCCAGGAAAAGCCUCUAAGCAUCAGGUAACAUCAAAUCGUACCCCAAACCGACACAGGUGGUCAGGUAGAGAAUACCAAGGCGCUUGAGAGAACUCGGGUGAAGGAACUAGGCAAAAUGGUGCCGUAACUUCGGGAGAAGGCACGCUGGUGUGUAGGUGAAGCCCCUGCGGGUGGAGCUGAGACCAGUCGAAGAUACCAGCUGGCUGCAACUGUUUAUUAAAAACAC